rnacentral:rRNA from 1 species
AACGAACGCUGGCGGCAGGCCUAACACAAGCAAGUCGAGCGAGGUAGCAAUACCUAGCGGCGGACGGGUGAGUAACGCGUGGGAACGUGCCCUUUGCUACGGAAUAGCCCUGGGAAACUGGGAGUAAUACCGUAUGUGCCCUUCGGGGGAAAGAUUUAUCGGCAAAGGAUCGGCCCGCGUUGGAUUAGGUAGUUGGUGGGGUAAUGGCCUACCAAGCCGACGAUCCAUAGCUGGUUUGAGAGGAUGAUCAGCCACACUGGGACUGAGACACGGCCCAGACUCCUACGGGAGGCAGCAGUGGGGAAUCUUAGACAAUGGGCGCAAGCCUGAUCUAGCCAUGCCGCGUGAGCGAUGAAGGCCUUAGGGUUGUAAAGCUCUUUCGUGGGGGAAGAUAAUGACUGUACCCCAAGAAGAAGCCCCGGCUAACUCCGUGCCAGCAGCCGCCGUAACAC